rnacentral:rRNA from 1 species
UACCAGCACCCCGAGUGGUCGGGACGAUUAUUGGGCCUAAAGCAUCCGUAGCCGGUUCUACAAGUCUUCCGUUAAAUCCACCUGCUUAACAGAUGGGCUGCGGAGGAUACUAUAGAGCUAGGAGGCGGGAGAGGCAAGCGGUACUUAGUGGGUAGGGGUAAAAUCCGUUGAUCCAUUGAAGACCACCAGUGGCGAAGGCGGCUUGCCAGAACGCACUCGACGG